CUCAAAUUGGAGGGACUGAAACUGAUGACAUCAGCUUGAAUAUUGAGAUGGAACCUGAAGGGGACCUUUCUGACAUGCUGCAAGCAGUGUUGGCUACUAAUGGGAAUGCUGCCUCCACAUAUUUCCUAACACUAAGGUUCUGCAGCUCUCCACAGAGAGAGAGGAAAGGCUGCUGACCUGGUGCCUGAAGUUGUGACUAGAAACUUAGAAGUUAAACAAGACAGACACAGUGUCUUCGCGAGUCUGGAGAGAAAAUAUGCAUCUGACAGCAAGGUGGGUCCACAUUGAUACAGGAGAACAGAUAUAAAGUAGCAUUUUUCAGUGGCUCACAGCUACUUCAAACAUGAAGUGCUUUUCCUCGGUCCAACAAA